UUUAACGGCCGCGGUAUUUUGACCGUGCAAAGGUAGCGCAAUCACUUGUCUUUUAAAUGAAGACCUGUAUGAAUGGCAUAACGAGGGCUUAACUGUCUCCUUUUUCCAGUCAAUGAAAUUGAUCUCCCCGUGCAGAAGCGGGGAUAUUAACAUAAGACGAGAAGACCCUAUGGAGCUUUAGACACCAGAACAGACCAUGUUAAACACCCCUUAAAUGAAGGACAAAACUGAUUGGCCCCUGUUCUAAUGUCUUUGGUUGGGGCGACCGCGGGGAAACAAAAAACCCCCAUGUGGACCGGGAGCACACUACUCCCACAACCCAGAGGCACAACUCCAAGUAACAGAACUUCUGACCAACAAGAUCCGGCACAUAGCCGAUCAACGGACCGAGUACCCUAGG
rnacentral:rRNA from 1 species